AUUGAACGCUGGCGGCAGGCCUAACACAUGCAAGUCGAGCGGAUGAAGGGAGCUUGCUCCUGGAUUCAGCGGCGGACGGGUGAGUAAUGCCUAGGAAUCUGCCUGGUAGUGGGGGAUAACGUCCUGAAACGGGCGCUAAUACCGCAUUCGUCCUGAGGGAGAAAGUGUGGGAUCUUCGGACCUCACGCUAUUAGAUGAGCCUAGGUCGGAUUAGCUAGUUGGUGGGGUAAAGGCCUACCAAGGCGACGAUCCGUAACUGGUCUGAGAGGAUGAUCAGUCACACUGGAACUGAGACACGGUCCAGACUCCUACGGGAGGCAGCAGUGGGGAAUAUUGGACAAUGGGCGAAAGCCUGAUCCAGCCAUGCCGCGUGUGUGAAGAAGGUCUUCGGAUUGUAAAGCACUUUAAGUUGGGAAGAAGGGCAGUAAGUUAAUACCUUGCUGUUUUGACGUUACCAACAGAAUAAGCACCGGCUAACUUCGUG
rnacentral:rRNA from 1 species